ACCUAAAGCAGUAGCGGCAUUCUGGUGGGGGAGACAGCCGGUGAAUAAGAACAAAAAGGUGACAGAGACUUUAAUUUUAAACGGUAAUUAGGGCAAUGAAGAAAAUGAUGGAGACAGGAGCAGAGUGACUAGGGGCAGGGCCCUUUCAGAUCCAGGGUAAUCUGGAGACCUCUGUGGUGAGAAGGAGCCAGCCAUGUGAGGUUCUGGAGGAAGAGCAUUCCAGGCAGAAGGAACCCAUACAAAUCCUCCAAGGCCCCCAGCAUGGCUGGAGCGGAGUGAGUCAGGGUGAGAGUGGAGGAGAGGAGGGUGAGAGUGUAGAAUCAUUGAACGGAAUCACUGAAUCACUGAUGAAUGUGAAUCAUCCUGUAGAAUGUAGAGUGAGAAUUAAAGGGGUUUAACCUUAAGCCUAAUGAGAGGCUAGUGGAGAGUUUUAGGUAAGAGGGAGACAGGAACCAAGCUCAGAGCCUCUAGGGGCGCAGGAGUGGAAGCGAAUAGCCAGUGAGGAGGUCGUGGCAAUGAUGCCCUCCAGAGUGAUGGUGGCUUGGAGCAGGGUGGUGGCCCUGCAGGGAUUGUGUGUGCCUCCGGGAGCACUCACAUGGGCGUGCAGGCCCACACACGUGGAGAGGCGUGUGCUUUCACACCCACCGCAGCACAGACACAAGGCGCACUCAGGCAGCCUCGCCCAUCCACACCUUCUGAGUCACUCCAGGACUGGGAAAAAGAUGUGAGAUCCCAGGGCCUAAACAAAACCCGUCUCCCCACCACAAAGGCCCUGGCAACCAGCGUGGCUGGGGCUCCCUCGGGCCCAGCACAGAGAGGGGAGUUGUCUCUAGGUACUCCCCAGAUCUGGUGUCCUCCCAGCAGCCAGAGCAUAACCCCCACCGACCCCCACCUGAAUUGGUCUUCCAUCUUCGCCACCCCACUGGCUGCGAGACCUUGGGCCAGUUGUUUCCCCUCCCUUCCCUCGGUUUUCUCUCUGAAGACUGGGACUCAUAACCCCAGCCUCACAGGAGAGUGACGGCCACAAGGUGACAGUUUCCAGCAUCUGGUCUGGGGCAGGCGUCCAGCAGGGAAGGGAGGGCAGGUGGUGGAAGGCAGCCCAGCCUUGAAGCCACCUCUUCUGAGUGACGUGACCCCUCUAUACGUCACAGUAAGAGUAGCCGGCAUUAAUCGAGCACUUACUGUACACUACGCGCUUUGCAAUCAUUUAAUUAUGAGUUUCUUCAUCUGUAAAUGGGGAGCAUAGCCGUAUCCACCCCAAGGGGUUGUUAGAAAGGAGUAAAUGAGAUCCUGCUCAUAAAGUGUUUAGCUUCAAGCCUGGCUCACAGUCAGGCACAGUAAAUGGUAACUAUACCAUCAGCAAAUGCACAUCCCCUUCCUUCGGCACACUAGCUCAGUGACUUAGAGCAGGUUACUUAACCUUGGUGUGCCUCAGUUUCCCAUCUGCAGCUUGGGAAGAAUAGUAGUCACCACCUGCUAGGGUUGUUGCAAUCAUUGACCAAGUCAGAGCUCAGCACAGUGCCUGGCAGGAAUGCUCAGUGAGGUCACCUCUUCAUCAAUAUCAAGGUUCUUCCUCUUCUUCCCCAGGUGGGCACGGCCCCCGGAGCCCCUGCCAGGCGCCAUGGACUGGAAGACGUUCCAGGCCCUGCUGAGCGGCGUGAACAAGUACUCCACGGCGUUCGGGCGCAUCUGGCUGUCGGUGGUGUUCGUCUUCCGGGUGCUGGUGUACGUGGUGGCCGCAGAGCGCGUGUGGGGGGACGAGCAGAAGGACUUCGACUGCAACACCAGGCAGCCCGGCUGCACCAACGUCUGCUACGAUGAGUUCUUCCCCAUCUCCAACAUCCGCCUCUGGGCCCUGCAGCUCAUCUUCGUCACCUGCCCCUCGCUGCUGGUCAUCCUGCACGUGGCCUACCGCGAGGAUCGGGAGCGGCGGCACCGCCUGAAGCACGGGGACCAGUGCGCCAAGCUAUAUGACGACGCGGGCAAGAAGCACGGUGGCCUGUGGUGGACCUACCUGUUCAGCCUCAUCUUCAAGCUCCUCAUCGAGCUCCUCUUCCUCUACAUGCUGCACACUCUCUGGUAUGGCUUCGGCAUGCCACGCCUGGUGCAGUGUGCCAACGUGGCACCCUGCCCCAACACCGUGGACUGCUACAUCGCCCGGCCCACCGAGAAGAAGGUCUUCACCUACUUCAUGGUGGGCGCCUCGGCCGUCUGCAUCGUGCUCACCAUCUGCGAGAUCUGCUACCUCAUCUUCCACAGGGUCCUGCGAUGCCUGCAGAAGGACAGGCCGCCACGGGGCUACAGCCCCUCACCCUCCAAAAGCCGGGCCUCCACAUGCCGCUGCCACCACAAGCUGGUGGAGGCUGGGGAGCUGGGUCUGGACCCAGGCAAUGACAAGCUGCAGGCCUCAGCACCCAACCUGACCCCCACCUGACCCCCACCUGACCCCAGGGCUGGGGUGACACUGGGGCUGCCAGCAGGACAGGUAGGGAGGUGCUGCAGGGUGGAGGGUCCCUUGGGGGCUGGGUGCCCCACUUUGAAUUCACUAAGCUAUCCGAGUUUUGGCAGAUACUUUUUGAUGCUGGCCACUGGGCCGUGCGCCUGGGGAUAGCAGGCGCAGAGGCCCGGAGGCCACGCAAAGAGAAAUGUUUGCCCUGGGCUGGACACGGACCAGACCGAAAGCACUCUCCCCUCCCCUGAGGGACCACCCAGAUUCCUGACGAGGAGAGGUCUUCUCCCAGCAGGGCUGGUGGCUGGAGAGUGAGCCUGGGAAGGUGCUAGAAACACCCAGGGGUCCUCUCGUGUCACCACUUCCCUCCGCUGAGCACCACCCCCAAACCCUGCUCCAUCCCCUCCCCACAACCCCGUGACAGGAACCUCCCCAAGGUGCUUUCCUUGAAAUCAAUAAAGGCCACGUUUUAUACAGGCUGGCUCUGUCCUGCAUUCUUCCACACCCCCACCCACAGGACCCCGGGGGGCAGGGACGUAGCCCUCAGAAAGGGAAAGAGCUCCAAGGCUGGGGGAGAAACCAGCGUAGGGGCUGCAGCUGUGGCUGGAAGCUAGGCGGGGAUUGGGGUUGACAGGCGGGGCUUGGGGGGCCGGAGGUGGGACUGGGAUGACCCUCCCAUGUAUAUGUUGGGAUUCCAGUCGCGGCCACAAGAGGGUGCUGUGCUCCCUCUACAACAGACCCUCAGCCUUCCUUCAUAAUUGGUCUCUGCCCCAGUAGAUACACAAUAACUGUCACUCUCAUUACAGACAGCCACACUCCCUCCUCCUUCGUCACCCAGCCGCUGCCACCACAACCCACAUCUCCACCCUGUGUACACACAAUCUCUGCUAUUCAUACAUUCACUCACUAUUUACACUCUCAACGGGCCGCAGAGUCCGCUCCAAGGCAUGCAGUCCCAGCCUCCACCUGCCUUCCACUCUGCUUGUUCCACUUUCCCCGAGCACUUUCUCCACGCCAGGCCCCUGGCAGGGUGCUGGGACUUCCCUGCAUGGGGAAGUAGGGCCUGAGCCCAGAGAGCUAAGAGUCUGGGGGAGACAGAGCCGCAGACUCAGCCCUGUGCUAACCAACCCUGGGCUGGCUCACAGCUGUGUCAUGACCGGAAAUGUAGGAGAGGACACCAUCACCCGAGCCCAGACCAGAACGGGAAGCAAAAGGGGUGCAAGGCUACACUAACCCAUAGGAAUGUUUAGUGACCAGCAAAGCCAAGGCCAGAACCAAGAGCCAAAGCAAGCAAGGAGAGACGUCGUGCAGACAGAGCAGGCCGUGGUCCAUCUUUGCCCUCACGAGUGGCCAGUAAGGGGGUGGGUAAGCCAGCCAGGUCUAAAGGGCCCAGGGCUGGGCUGCCACUGUUCCCCAUGCCCAUGACCGAAUCAGAGCUUGACCACUGCAUGAGCACAGUUUCACCACGCUGCACCUUGUGCAGACUUUCAGAGCCUCAGUCUUGUCAUCAAUACAAUGGGAAUGUAUCAGUCAGGGCCCGGCAGAAAACAGAGGGAAGGAACAUUCAAACCAAGUAACUUUAAAGAGUCUCCUAGACUUUUAAAGGCAGGGGCAUGAUUAAGGAAACCCACAAGGAAUGCUGCAGCACGCUGCAGCUAGUACCAGGAUAACAGUGGACAGCAGCUGUGGGAGGCACCCAUCCACAGCAACCAAAUAAGUCCCCCAACCUCACUCUCCCAUCUCCUGCUCACCUGCCAGGGGCUCUCAUUUCCCAAGCCCAGCCACAAGUCAGAGGGCAAAUCAGCCUCCUGGGGCACACAGCAGGGCGGAGCAGGGUGGAAAGUGCAUCUGGGGCAAAGGAAUACAUUCAGCACAGCACCUGGGACAGUUCCUGCUUGCAUGUUGUAGAGAUAAAAGAGACCCUAUAGGUAAAACAUUAGCACAGUGCUAUUCAAUACCGGGGCAGGGUACAACUAUACCGUACUUAGGAAAGUCUUUGCCUGAUGCAACCCAGGUCAGCCUCGGCUGCGGCAGGCUGGAGUGUUACAAAGGUCUCAGGGAGGGGUAAUCUCCACCUACAUUCCAGCAUCUUCCAGGGUGGUUCUGGCUGCCUGGCCAAGGGUCAUUUGGAAGUCAGAACAACCAGAGAACAUCACUGGCUACCCCAGCAGAGAAUGAAUGCUCAGCGUGGACUGAACUCCCAGUCCUGGGCCCGUUUCUGCAGGCUGUGGGUCAGGACCAUGGAGGAGGGGACA